rnacentral:rRNA from 1 species
GGUAAUGUCGUGCAGGCGAGCAGGGUAAGAGGAUGGGUGGAAGUGUGAAUCGGGAUGAAUUGGGGGAAGUGGUGCGGGGGUUGGGCGGUAAGUCUGGCGUGAAAGCCCCGGGCUCAACCUGGGAAUGGCGAUGGAGACUGGCGGGGUAGAGUGCGGGAGAGGGUGGUGGAAUUCCCGGGGUAGCAGUGAAAUGCGUAGAGAUCGGGAGGAACAUCAGUUGCGAAGGCGGCCACCUGGACCAGCACUGACACUGAGGCACGAAAGCGUGGGGAGCAAACAGGAUUAGAUACCCCAGUAGUC